rnacentral:rRNA from 1 species
UACGAAGGGGGCUAGCGUUGCUCGGAAUCACUGGGCGUAAAGGGUGCGUAGGCGGGUUUUUAAGUCAGGGGUGAAAUCCUGGAGCUCAACUCCAGAACUGCCUUUGAUACUGAAGAUCUUGAGUCCGGGAGAGGUGAGUGGAACUGCGAGUGUAGAGGUGAAAUUCGUAGAUAUUCGCAAGAACGCCAGUGGCGAAGGCGGCUCACUGGCCCGGUACUGACGCUGAGGUGCGAAAGCGUGGGGAGCAAACAGG